CGAAACCUGGUGAAUCUCUGAACCCGUCAGUGUUAUCGUGUGCAGACCAUACCAUACCAUACCUCGGUGCUGGCCCACGUACUGGUUUCACACAUCCCCGACUGUACCUGCUGUACGUGUGACGCGAGAGGUUGUCGAACUCUUCUUGCUUCCAGAUGGCGAGGUGCGUGUGUCAUUCCGCCACCUCCCUCUGACAACCAUACGGCUUGUCUUCAGAGCGUGGGGGUGGUGGCAGUGAUGGUGGUGGUGGUGGUGGCAGGGCGGCAGCAGCGAGGUCACUGGCGUCAGGCUGGAGCAAAGUAGUCAGAGGGUUGGGGCGACGCAGCGUGACAGGUGAGAUGGAAUCAUGCAAGUUGCCAACCUGUGUGUGUCUCAGGACUUCAGCGGUGAGCAAUUUUACAAGCCUUGUUCACUCGUUCGCUCUGUUUCUUUCAGCGUGUAUCCUCGGGGUUCGUGAGGAUGAGAGAGUCGGGACCGAUGACGGAACGACGAGGAAUGGAAGGGGUGAGGGGAGGGUGAAGGGAGGAAGACGGAGAGGGAGGGAGGCUGCAGCGGCGACAAUGUUGCUGGGAAAGGAGAUAAAGUUACUCGUACAUUUCGAAAUUUUGUAUUUUACGUCACCACGCUGUGCCGGGCCGCCCCUCGCCCCCUCGCUCUGCGGCAAGUGGGAUGCUGAUGUGUGAGCUUCCCAUGAUCUGCCUUACUAUAUGUACACUGCCACGUAAUUAUGGAUCAACUGACAGAAUGCAAACAACUGGAUCAUACAAAGUUUCGCAAUGCAUUUUUUUUAUGUACACCACUGGGGGAUAGCCCGGCGAUUAGCGAAUAAGAAUUGUAAAAGAGGGAGAAAUGUGUCACAAUAGAAUAAUCAUAUGCAUAUAUAUGCCAGUUUAUUAAAAGGGAAAAAGAUAACUUGGAUUCCACUUUCCUUGAAGACUGGAAAACACUACACAGAGAAUUCUUUA